AGUCACUGACAUUAGAUACCCGCGUAGUCCAGGGUGUAAACGCUGCAGACUUGGUGUUGGAAGUCCUUUGGGGGCAUUCAGUGCCGGAGAGAAGUUGUUAAGUCUGCUACUUGGGGAGUACGUCCGCAAGGAUGAAACUUAAAGGAAUUGGCGGGGGAGCACCGCAACGGGAGGAGCGUGCGGUUUAAUUGGAUUCAGCACCGUAAAACUCACCAGGGAAGACUGUUACAUGAAAGCCGAGAUGAAGACUCUGCUAGAUUUUCAG
rnacentral:rRNA from 1 species